rnacentral:lncRNA from 1 species
GGAGGGGGAGCUGAGACUAGGUUGAUGAUCUGAGGGACAGAAGUCCUGCCUGGCUGGGGAAGGCCAGGUGGGCUUGCUGGUGACACAGCAGAGAUCGGGGCCCAGUGUGGCCUGGAUGGGGAUGCCAAGCAGGCAGAGCUGGGCUCUGCAGUGCUGGUCACCAAGUGGUGCUAGGAUGGGGCAGCUAAGGCCCAGGUGCUACCCACACAGCCAGGAAGUGGCCGCCCUAGAGCCCCAGAGGCCCUGGGGAGGCAGCAUCUGGGGUGUGAGUCCAGCUCUGCUGCAGGCUGGCCAGCCCGUGACCCUGGCCUCAUCCUGAUCCAGGCAGAUGUGGGAGACCCAGCAGGUGACAGGGCAGCUGACACGGCCCAACGUUUACUCCUUGGAGCAUGGUGCUCCAUCCCAUUUCAGGGGUGUGGAAACUGAGGUCAAGGGAGGUGAGGGGCUUGCCCAAGGCUACACCACAAGUCACAGUGGAGCUGGGACAGGCCCCCCUGGCACCUCCCUCGGCUGUUAGCAGGUGGGGGUGGGAGUCUCCAGGGCCCCCAAAGAGAGCUGUGGGCAGGGCUAGUUUGCCUGCCACAGCACAUCUGUCACACAGGGGCACCUCACUGUGUUAGGGUCCCUGUCAUCAGGACAUAACCCCACCUCUUCCUCCCGGCAUAACUGCCCCACAAGACCACAGGACAAACCCGUGCUACAUCCUAGAAGACAAAAUCCCUUGGGGGCCACACCUCACUGAGAGACAGACAGCCCCUCAACAUCCCAGCAGGAAAGCCAGCCUCCCCACAGAACACCACUCCCUCCAGGUCAACUGCAGGCAGCAGCCAGGGCCAUAACCCCAUGACCUCUGCGCGGCCCCUUCCGGAGUCCCGGAGCCAAUGAGGGGCUGGAGGAGGUGGUCUUGGAGUCAGAGCAGCCCGCCCAUCGGGACCUGGAGCCCCGUCUCCGCAGAGCGGCCUUGGCUGGGUCUUGGGCAGACAAGUGCAGCCCGUGUAGUCACUCCUGGAGAACUAUGGGCACUGCCCUGGGGUGCCCUACGCCCUGGUCAGGACCCCUGGGCUCAGCCCCGCAGAGGAGCAGGUAAGAGGCUGGGCCCCGUCCCUGCUGGGCCUUGGGCGGUCUGGGUGGGUAGCACCCGCCUCCUGCUCUCUAGCAGGAGCUGCAGCCCCUCAGCUCAGCCUGGACCCUGGCCUCCAGCCCCCCAGUGUGACCAGAACACAACCAGACCAUCACACCAGGGUCCCACACUCUCUUCCCAGCAGCCAACUUGGGGUGUAGGACUCUUGCUUACUGGCUGGGAGGGACCGUGAGACUCAAGGUCCCCCAGCCAGGAAGUGGGGACUGUGGCUGCCUUCAGUCUGAGCAAGAGACAGGGGUCAGAGGUGAGCACAGGAGCCAGACUCUACCUCCCACCCCACCCCCAGUUCUGCCUGCCCAGUGCCUCCCCAUCUUUCUGAAUUUGCAGCUGGACUGGAGCCUCAUGGAGGCAGGUGGUGCUGGUGGGAGUUGGUCAGGUGCCCCCACCUGCAGGAGAUGCCCUGGCGCCAGGCAGGUCGCUGACUGUCACCCUGGGAGCCAGGAUGAAAAUAAUUAAACAUGGGGAGUUCCCCCUGUGACACAGCAGGUUAAGGAUCCCAUGUGGUCUCUGCAGCUGCUUGGGUCACUGCUGAGGUCGCGGGUUCAGUCCCUAGCCUGGGAACUUCUAUCUGCUACAGGUGUUAUUAAUAAUAACAACACAACACACAGGUGUGCAGGAGAUGGGCUGGAAUAGCGCAGGAACCCUGCCAGAGAAAUGGCUUUCUGGCAUUUUCCUUUUCUAAAGAUUAUUUGAGAGCUUUAGGAACAGUGAGGAAAAGAGAAAGUGAGCACUGGGAUUAAAGGAGGAAUCCCACCGCCCAGUUGGAGACCUGCCCUUCCUGGUGACCUUCUGCCAGCGCCACCCACACAGGAGGGAGGGACUGGGGCUGGUGGUACCGGAGGCUAACCAAGGGAGGAAACCCCCCAAACCCUCCCUGCCAGCUUGGGAGAGCAUCUGAGGGCUGCAGGUGCCCCCAUCCUGGCUUCUUCACUUAACUGCAGGCCUGUCCCUCAUCAGAGGCUUUAUUAUGUACCAAGCCAGGCUCCAGGAGCUGACCUAGCAAAUGCUCAGACCUGAGGGGAGGUGUGGGGCCCCACCUUCUGCCCCGUUGGGGAGGCGCUGGUGACAGCCUGGGGGAUUUGAUGGCAAUGGAAGUGGGGGUGUCUCAUGGGACUGAGCCCUGAACCUGUGGGGGGUCUGGGCUGGCUCAGUGACAGUGGCAGAGCUGGACUGAACUGUAGGGCAGCAGCGGGGGUAGGCAUUGGUCAGUGUUGGUACUCCACACAUCCAGUCCUGGGAGUGACCAGCUUGAGGACACGCUGUCCUUCAGAGAAGCAGGAGGGCUCCGUCUGGACAGUCCCAAAGCCAGGGAUGGCUUCUUCAGCAGCUGGCUUUGCACUUUCUUUGGCUCAUUUUCUGUUUUAUUUCAGUGUCACUUUGACUUUUGAUAUGAGCUGUUGAAGGUAAUUUUAAGGGAUCGGCAAGUCAGAUAUUUAUUUAUUUACUUAUUUAUUUAUUGGCAUAUGGAGGUUCCCAGGCUAGGGGUCGAAUUGGAGCUGUAGCUGCCGGCCUACGCCACAGCCACAGCAACUUGGGAUCUGAGCUGCAUCUGUGAUCUACACCACAGCUCCUGGCAAUGCCAGAUCCCUGACCCACAGAGUGAGGCAAGGGAUCGAACCCACAUCCUCAUGGAUACUAGUCAGAUUUGUUUCCACUGCACCACAAUGAGAACUCCCAAGUCAGAUGUUAUGAUGUUUUGUCAUCUUGGGGUAUCUCUGUCCAGAUGCGACCUGUGUGCACACAAGGUGCACGUGUCCUCCUUGAAAGUCAGUGGGAGCUCUCAGUUCACACUGCUGUGGUUGAGGCCGCCCUGUUCUUUCAGCCGUUGUGGUAUUUUGUGGUUUGGAUGGACAGAAGGUGCCCCACUCUUUGUUCUCUCAGUGGGCUCUCUGUUUAAGUCAGACUACGGUCAGGCUGUCACAUUUCAGUCCUUGUACCCCUGCACCAAGAAGGACUGUGUCCACAGUGCAGAGGAAUAUUUGCCUCCCGUCAAGAGGGCCACUGUUAGAAACCCCUCCAGCAACCCCAUCGUACAUAUGCAGCUUUUCUCGUGAUAUUUCCACACCCCACAUGCCACCCCAGGGGCUGCACUGCACUGCAGAUCCCAGACCUAAAGACCUCGCAUUCACUACUUGCGCUUCCUGCGGGCAGGGCUGUCUGGCUUACUCUGAGUCUCCGUGAUGCCAGAACUAUUUGUUGAAUGAGUGAACAAGACUGUCUGGUAAAUGCCCAAACCAACACCCUCUGAAAGUUCAGUGGGCAGGAGAAACCUAGGAAGGCUUCCUGGAGUGGGUCGCCUUGGUGAUAUGGGCAAGGUUCCCAGACUGGGAAAUCUGAGAAGGAAGUCCAUUUGGAGACAAGCGGGACAGUGCGUGAAGGUGCGGAGACAGGCCUGUGCAGAGUAUGCUGGGGUGGGCCCCACUGGGCGCAGACCUGGGAGAGCCAGGCCCGGCCUGGGUGCCAGCCAGCCUCGCACUCCUUCAGUCCUAAGGAAGAGCCUGAGAAGGUCUGAGCAGUGGCGUGGCCUGCUGCCAGCUGCUCACACAGCGGGGUGGGGGUGGGGCUUCUGCAGAGCUAGGUUGGCAGGGUGGCCAGAGGUCCAACUGGUGGGAGGCUGCCAGUGUGGCUUUGCUGGCCUUCCCCCCAACCCACCCAGCCCUCAACUCAUCUGGUCCCCAGGGCAGCCCUGUGAGGCGGGGUGGGACCUCCUGCUCAUCUCACAGAAGAGGAGACUUGACGUUCAGAGCGGGGAAGGGUGGCAUGGGCUUCGUCACAAACCUUCUGGUACACACUGAGGCCUGGGAACUGGGCCCUGAGGCAGCAGCCACAGAGAGGGUCCCCACUCCAGUGGGCAGGAGCCUGGCCAUAGCUGGGACCCUGGGAGGCUGGCCCCAGUGAGGGCAAGGCCAGAGGGUGCAGGGGAUUCAAACAAGGCCAAACCCAUCAGAUCUUGGCUGUCAUUUUGGCAUAAGUGGUAAGAGUAAAAGCUUUCAGAUGAGGGAGAUAUUUCCCUACCCAGCUCACCACCGGGUCAUAUGCAAAACCAAAUUCUCUCCCUUUUUCCUCCCCCUUCCCCCUCUCUCCCUCUCUUCCCCCUCUCUUCCCUCCCUUGCCUUCCCCCUUCCUCUCCCCUCCCCCUCUCCCUCUGUCUUCCUCUCUCUCUUCUCCCCCCCCGCCCCGCAACCCCCAACGCCUACCCCUGUGCUGUGAGCUACACCAGAGCACAGCCUGGUGUUCUGCAUGAUCAUCCACCCAGCAGGACCGGAUUGUUGGUAGCAGAAGUGAGGUUUUCCUCACACAGGAUGCUCACUGUUGGCUGAGUUUCCUAAGGCUGCUGUAAGAAAUCCCCAUGAAUGCAGGGGCUUUAAAACAGCCCAAAUGUACUCUCUUAUGAUUCUGGGUUUUGAAAAUCUGAAAUGGACUUCACCGAUGGAAAGCAGGAAAUUCAGAGCCAAUGCAAGGACAAUGCUGGGGCUAUUCUGUCCCUUGGCUCUGUCACUGAGGUUGUCGUUGGGGGCGCAGCAUUCAUUACAGAGCAGAUUUGUCCUGCUUUAUGUCUGCAUGUUCUCAAAGUUCACACUCACUGUGCUUAGUGGCAUGAAAGGCCCCAUGAGAAAGACGUGAGGUCCAGGGAGGGGGGAUCCCCUCUCCUUCUGCCCCAAGUCGGGGUGGGGGGGGGGGCCCCUGUCUUCACAGCAAGGGCAGAUCCCUCUCCUGGCUCUACCCUGCCACCUGCUCCCCUUGGCCGGAUGUGGGUGGUUAGGGCUGACUGGAUGUGCAGGACCAUCUCGAGGCUCAGAGUCCUUACUUAGGUUGCCUCUGCCAUGUCUCCUUUGAUGUGUAAUGUGACACUGCAGGAUGCAGGGCCUGGACAUCUGUGGGGGCUGUCAUCCUGUCCACCAUCCAUCAGGCACCCAGAGUUCUCAGCCCAGGCUGAACACAGGUGUUUCAUGAACUAAACCCCUGGCCCCAAGGAUACAGGCCAAAGUGGAGGCAUUCUCUAGAACAUUCUGUGCAAUUUAUGUGCCUUAGGUACAUCUGAUUUUGCCAAUCAGAGCCCACUAGUAACACACAUUAUAUGAUUAACAGGCCACAGCCUCACCUGUGAAAAUCCACAUGCUGCAUGGCAGACCCUUGGUAUAAACUGGGCAAAGGAGCUGAAGUGGAGGCUUCCUGUGAUAGGCAGUCUGGGGGGGGGGGUUCCUAAAUGGGGCCCCCACAAGCUCUUCCUGGCAUGGAAGACCUUUGAACAGGAAGCUGCAAAGCCAGGGAGGGGGAGGAAGCAAGAAAUGCCCCAAGUUCUGGCUUGGGGGAUCUUUUUUUUUUUUUUCCUUUUUUUCCAUUUUUAAUUUUAGGGCUAUACCCAUGGCAUAUGGAGGUUCCCAGGCUAGGGGUCAAAUUGGAGCUGUAGCUCCCAACCUACACCACAGCCACAGCAAUGCUGGAUCCUUAACCCACUGAGCGAGGCCAGGGAUCAAACCCACAUCAUCACGAACACUACAUUGGGUUCUUAACCUGCUGAGCCGCACUGGGAACUCCCUGGCUUGGGGAUCUUUACAAGAAUAGGAGGGUGGAGGGCCUGCGUUGUGUCCUAGGCAGCGGCAUCAUCUCAGGCCUUCAGCUGUGUCCCCUGGGAGGCCACCCCCAUCUCUCUACCUGGCCUGUCCCUGUGCAGCACCUCCCCAGGCAGAUCACACCGCAUAUCUGAGCUCCAUUUUCUCAUCCUCAUCCUGAGAACUGCUCCCUCCAGAGGUUAGAGUAUUGAAUCCAGGCCAGAAGCAGAGGUGCUGCAUUUUUUUUUUUUUUCACUCUAGAAAUAUUUACUGCAUGCCUAUUGUGCAACUUUAGGUGUAAAAGAGAAAGUUAUUGAACAAAAAUAUAAUAGAAUACAACUUUCCUGAACUAAUAAAAACAUGAAAUUACAGAUAAAAAGACAAUUUAUCCUCAAAAGGAAAGAAGGAAACCCUGAAGUAGAACAGUUGACUUGAAGACAUAUCCAUGCUACCUGACUGAAUUUCAGGGGUAAAGAGAAAUUCAACAGCCCUCAAGUGGGAAUCUUAUAGCAGGGGGUGCAUGGCAAACAGAGCUUUUGCUGCAUGUAGGAUUGGGGAAAUUGCCAGAAUCGCCUUUAUGUUUAUGGCACACGUGCACCAACACUUUGAGAACAGAUGGAGUUUGGGGGCUUUUACAUGCAUUCUGUAGAGUGGCUGAAAUGUUCCUAUCAUUUCUGUCAACAGACACAGACUUAAAAAUAGCAAAUGUUGACGGGAGACUUGGCCAUGGCUUUGAGUUGCCACGGUGCUCUGACAGGUGUCACAGGAGAUUGGGCACAGGGACAGCCUCCCUCAGUAACACAGGAGACUGUGACUGCAGUGAAGUGGGGGUUCCAGCUACAGUCGCCACCUUUCCCUAGGUUGGCAAGUGGGUUUAGGGCGUCAGAACCAGCGUUUAUUAGGAAAUGAAAUAAGAGAAGCUAGAGUCAGGGUAGAACAUAUUAGCAUGUGUCAUGUGUUGCCUUUGAAACUUUUUUGCAAGUGCCCGUUUCACUCAGCAAGCUCUGGUUAGAAGGUGUGUGCCUUAAAAAAAAAAAAAAAAAAAA